rnacentral:rRNA from 1 species
AAGCCUGAUCCAGCCAUGCCGCGUGGGUGAAGAAGGCCUUCGGGUUGUAAAGCCCUUUUGUUGGGAAAGAAAAGCAGCCGGCCAAUACCCGGUUGUUCUGACGGUACCCAAAGAAUAAGCACCGGCUAACUUCGUGCCAGCAGCCGCGGUAAUACGUAGGUGGCAAGCGUUGUCCGGAUUUACUGGGCGUAAAGAGUAUGUAGGCGGACAUUUAAGUCAGAUGUGAAAUCCCCGGGCUUAACCUGGGAGCUGCAUUUGAUACUGGGUGUCUAGAGUGUAGGAGAGGAAAGUGGAAUUCCUAGUGUAGCGGUGAAAUGCGUAGAGAUUAGGAAGAACACCAGUGGCGAAGGCGACUUUCUGGACUAUAACUGACGCUGAGAUACGAAAGCGUGGGGAGCAAACA